GGUCUUUUGCAGUAAUACAGUGAAGGGUUGCAGCCUCCCUUGCUGUGUUGGCCAGAGACCUAUAGUAACGGAGAGGAUCAUUGUUGUGACAACUCUAAGCAAUGAGCUGUCAUAUUUUCCUGCCUCUUACAAUU